AGUGAACGCUGGCGGUAGGCCUAACACAUGCAAGUCGAACGGCAGCACAGUAAGAGCUUGCUCUUACGGGUGGCGAGUGGCGGACGGGUGAGGAAUACAUCGGAAUCUACUUUUUCGGGGGGGAUAACGUAGGGAAACUUACGCUAAUACCGCAUACGACCUACGGGUGAAAGCAGGGGAUCUUCGGACCUUGCGCGAUUGAAUGAGCCGAUGUCGGAUUAGCUAGUUGGCGGGGUAAAGGCCCACCAAGGCGAGGAUCCGUAGCUGGUCUGAGAGGCUGGUCGCCCGCAUGGGAACGGAGACAGGGACCAGGCGCCUACGGGAGGCCGCAGUGGGGUAUAUUGGACAAUGGGCGCAAGCCUGAUCCAGCCAUACCGCGUGGGUGAAGGAGGCGUUCGGGUUGUAAAGCCCGUUUGUUGGGAAAGAAAAGCAGCAGGUUAAUACCCCGCUGUUCUGACGGUACCCGAUGAAUAAGCACCGGCUAACUUCGUG
rnacentral:rRNA from 1 species